UAACCUGCCCAAGAGAUCGGGAUAACACCUGGAAACAGAUGCUAAUACCGGAUAACAACAGAUGAUGCCUAUCAACUGUUUAAAAGAUGGUUCUGCUAUCACUCUUGGAUGGACCUGCGGUGCAUUAGCUAGUUUGUAGGGUAACGGCCUACCAAGGCGAUGAUGCAUAGCCGAGUUGAGAGACUGAUCGGCCACAUUGGGACUGAGACACGGCCCAAACUCCUACGGGAGGCAGCAGUC
rnacentral:rRNA from 1 species